UAGGGAAUCUUCGGCAAUGGACGAAAGUCUGACCGAGCAACGCCGCGUGAGUGAAGAAGGUUUUCGGAUCGUAAAACUCUGUUGUUAGAGAAGAACAAGGACGUUAGUAACUGAACGUCCCCUGACGGUAUCUAACCAGAAAGCCACGGCUAACUACGUGCCAGCAGCCGCGGUAAUACGUAGGUGGCAAGCGUUGUCCGGAUUUAUUGGGCGUAAAGCGAGGGCAGGCGGUUUCUUAAGUCUGAUGUGAAAGCCCCCGGCUCAACCGGGGAGGGUCAUUGUAAACUGGGAGACUUGAGUGCAGAAGAGGAGGGUGGAAUUCCAGGUGUAGCGGUGAAAUGCGUAGAUAUAUGGAGGAACACCAAUGGCGAAGGCGGCUCUCUGGUCUGUAACUGACGCUGAGGCUCGAAAGCGUGGGGAGCAAACAGG
rnacentral:rRNA from 1 species